rnacentral:rRNA from 1 species
UACGGAGGGUGCAAGCGUUUGUCCGGAUUUAUUGGGUUUAAAGGGUGCGUAGGCGGUUCUUUUAAGUCUGGGGUGAAAGCCCGUUGCUCAACAACGGAACUGCCCUGGAAACUGGAGGACUUGAGUACAGACGAGGGUGGCGGAAUGGAUGGCUGUAGCGGUGAAAUGCAUAGAUAGCAUCCAGAACCCCCGAUUGCGAAGGCAGACUGCCCUAGACUGAUACUGACGUGAGGCACGAAAAGCGUGGGGAGCGAACAGG